CAGCCAAUACAGACAACGUAAAACAUGACAUAAACAACCAGAGAAAAUGGCGGACAUCGAAACAAUUGACACGCGAAACCGCGAUGUGAAUUGCCUCUAUUGGCCUGAUUAUAUAUUUCGUGAGUGUUAAUGGCGUCCUUGUUUCUUUGAUGAGUUGAAAUUUUCCUGCUGUCAUUGCUGACAAUCAUGAUUUUAUGUAAAGAUGGAAUUGGACACCGAUACUUUAUCACAAAACCAAUAAUAUCACUAUCACAUAAACGUACAUUGACAGCUUCAAAUGGCAUAGUUAAUACAAACAAGUAUUGUGAUCACACUCCACGGCGUAAUAGCAUGUUUUGCCCCAAGAGCACCGUGGAUCCACGGUGCAAUAGCACCAAGUGACAUUAGAGCGCCGUGGAUCCACGGUGCAAUAGCACUAUAUGACACUAGAGGGCCGUGGACUCCACGGUGCAAUAGGCGCAACCCUGCAAAAAACGACGGGCAUCCCUAAAAUGCGAAAGCGAAACGCGAAACGAACAGCGACUAAAACGCGGAACGCUGUGCGAAACAACCCCCAGGCAAUGGGCUGCGGAACACUCAAAUAUCGCCUAAGGGCAGCCUAAAUAGCGAAACGAUUUUGCGACACACUUAUUUGAAAUGCCAUUGGAUUUUGCAUUUCAUUUAGAGAAAUAAGAACCGUGUACUAUUCUUUUUUGAGAAAAUUUAACACCGAUAAUACGGAACGCCGUUUGAUCCAUUUUUUUAUAGACAACUCUUAAUGCUAGCUGAUCGUUUCUGUAGCGAAUAAAUAGCUAGCUAGCACUGCCAUCUAGCGUUAAAAAACGACACUAAUAGGAGGGAUUUGAAUAGACCACGCCUUCAACGAAGGAGGACUCCACUACAUAUUGAAUUUAUCGAUCGAUUGCUAGGCCCAUUUCGAUCGCUACUGUGCAGUCAAUGGCGGCAUGGCGGAGACACGCAUUGGAACUUGGAAGUGGAUGCAUGUGCGACUUGAUGUGGCGUUGCAUGUGGCAGGCUCCGUUGGUAAUGUUCGCAGACUGGUCAUUUGAUGAUGCUUGUGAACAGUGGUAGUGCUUGGGUGCCUCAAGAGGGAAUCGCAGAACAUAGCCAUAGAGCUAAAAGUCAUAGAAGAUUUUUAAAUUGUUAUUUGAUUUUGUGUUGUUUCAGCAGCAGUAGCAAUCUGUUAUGUCCAAACAUGGAAUGAGUCGCAUGUGACUAAGUCAACCAAAUGUGGCAACAACAUUAAGUCAGCGAUGGAAUUAGUCAGUGGAAAACAACACAUUCAUUCCUGAGGAUGGUUUUGAGUUUAUCUAUGCUUAUUUUUUCAGGCCAACUGGAAGGAUUCCUCCUUUUCACAGAACUUUACCAUUUUCAUGGUAUACUUAACUGCUUGUCAGCGGAUUGUCACUUGGCAUCAUUUGAAUGGUAUGAUCCAUAUCAGCAGUGUUAUGAUGCACUUCUUAAAUACACCAAUCCCUCAGAAAAUAUUCUAAUUGAAAUUAUGGAAAUUUCUGCCCUUCAUGCAGAACUGCACAAUGAUGGGUUUGUAUAAACAAGCUUGAAAUGACAAACCAACAGUAUUUUUGGUUUGGCUUACACAUGCAGCUCUAUGACAUGUUGAUGUUAGCUAAAUUGUUAUUAAUCAUAGGGGCAGGUAGUAUGAAAUGAAAUAUCUUCUCUUGGAUGUUUGUGUCUAUGUAUUUGUUUGAGAUGACUCUUGAUGCAGGAAGCUUUUCCUGCUUCUUACGAAAAGGGACAUUGGAUGCCUUAAUGUCUAAUACCAACCAAGUGUCAUUGCAAAGAUAGGUCAAAGAAAUAUUAAUAUAGAUUACACUCUGAGUGAUGGUGACAUGGUAUCUUACUGAUUUCUAUUGGUUUAAUUUGUGGAAAGAAUAUCUUGAGCGGGACAAUUGGAUCACAAUUGACUAGAUGUUUUACUAUUUUUAAUGAGUUUAUCACAAAGAAUUUUUUACUGAUUCAUAUUCUGUUUCUGUAAUGUAGGUAGAAUAAUCGCAAUGUCAUGGUAGUAAUUCGCGAGAGAUAUGCCAAUAGGGUUUUCGCUGUUUUCAAUUCGAAAUCGUAAUGGAUUUGAAGAGGAUAUUGAUGGAGUUUUGGUAUAAAAAAGUACAUGUUCGUUGGAAGGGCACCGAAGAGUUCCGGAUCCUUUUACUAUCGCACAUGUUAUGUGCGUGUAAAACUAAAGGCUAAAAGAAGAAGAAUGAUUCAAAAACUGUGGGAGAGAAUCAUCAAAGAAUUACACUCGUUUAGGUAAUCCUUUCGGAUUCGAUUCCGCCGUUUGUGCUGCCCUUUUCUAUAAAGCACUUCUACUAAAGAGUGACGACUCGUCGCGAGUGCAUGACAUCAAUAUCGAUAACGGUUUCCUGCGUAAAGACGAAUCCGAGCAAGUCGUCACUAGUUUACAGCAACUCGGGCUCAAUCUUCGGAGUUCUUUUCCAGACAGUGGCUUCUCAUUUCUAUUGUCAUACCAGCGAUCAGAUUUGAUGUUUCGAAUUGUUUUGGGUUGCUAAAGCAAGAUUGACUUUCUACGAUGCUUCCACCAACGUGCAUGAUCGCCAAACUUUGUCGUUGUGUCGGACUGUAAAUCCGGAAGAUAAACGUCGAAUUAUUGGCGAUUGUUUGUCAAAGUGAUAGAUAGAACGGCUAACGAUUUAAAGGUCACUUGGGAUAAUCUACUUCUCGGAUAAGUUUAUUUGAGACCGGAUUUAAUUGGGGCCGCUUCGCAUAUGGCUUCUUCGCGCGCUGAUGCCAUAAAGACUCAUCGUAACGAUUCCGAAAUGGUUCGUCAAUUGAGCAUUUACGGUCCUGUAGUAGAAUCUCUUAAAGAUUUCAUUUCCAUAAAGAUGAAGUAAGAUCUUAGGUCGUGAGCUGGGUCUGUCCACAGUAUUACUGGAAUGUCACCCGUUUCCUGGUCCUGGUUAUAUAUUUAUAUUUAGUUAUAUUAUUAUUCUAAAAACCCAGAGGUGUUCUUCACUUUUCUGUAGGUUGAUUGAUGAUACUUGUUGAUUAAUCCAUGAAGAAUACCAAUACAUGGAUAAGUGGAGGGUAAUAAAAGUUUAAAAAUGUAA